rnacentral:tRNA from 1 species
GGGCCCGUGGGGUAGCUUGGUAUCCUUCAGGCUUUGGGAGCCUGUGACCCGCGUUCAAAUCGCGGCGGGCCCA